rnacentral:lncRNA from 15 species
CUUCAGUGUUCAUGGUUCAGGAGGUUUCUACCGGGAGCCCAAUGAUCCACAGAGGUCUCCUCCUCUCCAACACAAACAGACCCGCUGAUUAAAACCACUAAACACACUGAAUAAAGCAGUUCCACCUUAAACACACUGAAUAAAGCAGUUCCACCUUAACAAUCACUGCUUCUCCCACGCUGUUGGACAGACAAAGGACGUCCCGGAGGGGCUGCGAGCCGAGCUGCUGCUAACGUUAGCUCAGCUUGUUUCUCUGAUAACUUAAGAUCCAGACGUCUGAUGACUAAAAUCCUUCAUCUGGUUCAAAUCUAGAGUUAAAAAGCACCAAGAUCUAAACAGUGGAUGGUAAACAGUCAGUGUAUGACAGCUUCUGAUUAUUGAUUAUUGAUUGAAUCAGCUGCUAUCAGGAGCCAUUUUAAAACCUCCCUGCGUGGGGCAUUUAAGGACACUCUGGUCCGCUACCAGAAACAACAGUGAUGAUGUCAGACGGUGAACAGGUGAGCUGAACACGCUCUGCUGACACACCUGGACGGCGGCCCAGAGAUCAGACAGUGGUUCAGGGUGAUAAGACGAGGGCCACGAAAGCGUUCAAUGUGGAGCGAAGGUCACAUUGACGACUGCAGAGGGACCAGGAAACAGGAAGUGAUGUCAGCUAAGCACAGAGAGGAAAUACAGGAGACAGGUGGAUGCAGUGAUGUACGAGGUCUUCUCUGUCCCCUCUGGGACCCCAUCCUCCCCAGUACAGAAUGCUGUGGUUGAACUGGCUGCGUGUGACGGUCCAGUAGCUCAAACGUACACUCUGGAGUCAGACGCAGUAACCAUAGCAACCGUGGCUCACAGCAUCAUCACAAAUCCUAGGUUGGAGCCACUGAUCCAGAUUCUGAUGUACAAUGUCUGUAACACAUCACCGACCUCCAUCACCGACCUUCAUCACAUCAUGGAAGAGGACCGGAUAUGGAAGAGGACCACGUAUGAAAGAGGACCAGAUCAGACGUGAAAAGGUUCUAUGCGAUUUGUGCCAUUCACACUGACAUGAAAACAAAAUAUCACACACAUAUGAGCAGAAACAGCUGACUAAUGUAAAUGGAGACAAAGACAAUUGUCUCGUAAUCCGUCCACAAGGGUCUGUUUCAUUCAGGACCUCAUGAGACCGAACAAAAUAGAGAAGAAAAAAGCUUGUGGGGACAUCGUGGCAAUUCCUAACAGAAGUUAUCUCAGGAAAUUUUCAAAUAGAGCAGGUCUAGACCGAACUCUUUAUAACAUUAUUUACAGAGACCCAACAGUACCACCAUGAGCAAG